rnacentral:tmRNA from 2 species
GGGGAUGUAAAUGGUUUCGACAUUACAUUAGAAGUGCAUAUAGCAAGUAGUGGAUUCUCGUUGGCCACUAUAAAAACGAGAAAUUAAAUAUAAACGCUGAUAAUAGAGAAUUAGCAUUAGCUGCCUAGGUGCGGCUACGUUUUAUAAAAUAGUCCCACGGAUUUUAUAAAACGCCAAAACAGUGGGAAACAAAGCUGCUUUUGCUUUUAAAGUAGUGGGUAAUUAAAAAGCUAUAUUUAAAUUAAGCCUGUUUAUCGGCGUAAUUUAAAUGAAAAUAAAAGAUAAAAUAAACUUGUAGAAGUGUGCAUGGAAAAUGUUAUGGACAGGAGUUCGACUCUCCUCAUCUCCACCA